UGUUCCACCUUAUUACACACUCCCCACCUUCCAUUAACCUGUGCCAACUUAUUCCCACGUCUUCUCUCUUCCUGCUCCACUCCUAUAGACGCCUUCGAAUCGCCCUUCUCUUCUUCUUCACUCGCGGCUAGUGCUGGCGUCCGCUCCCUGUCGCAGGAGAAUAAGAAACGGAUCGAUCGCUUCGAUCGCUACUUGAAGAAAAGGUCAAAAAGAACAUGAAACGAGAACGUCAAGAGACCGUCGAGGCGGCGGAGACGGAGGACGAGAAGGGGAAGGCGAGGAUGGACGCCGACGAUGGUGGUGUUGAUGAGCUGCUGGCGGCGCUGGGGUACAAGAUACGGUCGACGGAGAUGGCCGACGUCGCGCAGAAGCUGGAGCAGCUGGAGAUGGCCAUGGGAAGCAGCGUCGCAGCCAACGACGAUGCCCUCCUCUCCCACCUCGCCUCCGACGCCGUCCACUAUAACCCCUCCGACGUAUCCACCUGGGUCGAUACCAUCCUCUCCGAGUUCAAUGCCCCUUCUCUCCCUCUCCCCCCGCCUCCGCUGUCCCCCGCUCCCCUCCAACACUUCAAUCUUCCCCCUGACGGAAC
rnacentral:lncRNA from 1 species